AAGCUGUCCAGUUGACGUCACUGUACUUGCGGAACAACCGGAGGAACUGCUAUAACCGGAGAAUUUCUGGCCGUGCUGGUGCUGUAGGGUAGCAGAUAGCGUGAUCUGCGAUAGUAGUGAAUGGACAGCUGGUUGGGAAGGGGAGGUUUCCAGUAACUGGGAUAGCUGGGCAAGCCUUGGCUUUCAGGAAGGGGUUGCCUGGGUUUAAGGUAAACUUCCACAGUUGGAUGAGACCCUGGCGUAUCCUGCAGCCGCGCUUGGCUUGACCAGGAGGUGGCAGCGGUGCUGCACAAGACAUCUGCAUCGCCAGCCGUGUUUAACUCCCGACUCGGGACACUGAACUCUACUUGAAACCAAUAGGGAAAUAAUCUUUCUUUUCUUUGGGGCAUCUGUAUAGACUUGAGCAAGGAAACACUACUGGUUUUGAAACUCUAAAUCACGGUGGACUACUGCUGUCAUUGUAUUAUUAAUACAAGUGAUUUUAGUACAGAGAGUUUGAGUGGGAAUACCACGGGUAGAAGUGAACACGCACAGAAGUACCGCCAGUCGCUCAUGCUGCUCUGCUGGAGCAUGUGAUGAAAGGAGGGUGUUUGGUCGCUCAUCUAAGUCACUGAGUUUACCCAUUGUCGCUUAAAAUAGCGUCAAGCCGGCGUGACGCAUGCUGCGCUCUGGUGAGGCCCACAUAACAUAUGUUGGUGCACAGGCUGUGUGAGCCCUCCGUUCCUCCUCCCGAGCGCGGCCGGCACACAUCGCCUUCCUUCUUGCGUGCUCUCAGUCUGACCCUCGUGUUCGAGGGUGUGGUGACGUGGAGGAGAUGACGGAGCCAAGAGCUUCCGAAGCGCACAACUUCAGAGAGCUUGGGCUCACAGGAGAAAUGAAUAUACAUCAGGUAUAUCUGCAGCUGCAAAUGAAACCUUGGGACACUUCCUCAGCCGUGACUAAUCCUGCGCGCACUGUGACUCAGCUACUGAAGCAUUUAUCAGGAGAGCUCCCAGAGCACUCAGUU